rnacentral:rRNA from 1 species
CCUACGGGAUGCAGCAGUGGGGAAUAUUGCACAAUGGUGGCAACCCUGAUGCAGCGACGCCGCGUGAAGGAAGAAGUCUUUCUGUAUGUAAACUUCUAUCAGCAGGGGAGAAAAUUACGGUACCUGACUUAGAAUCCCCGUAUAACUACGUUCCAGCCGCCGCGGUAAUACGGAGGGGGCAGGCGUUAUCCGGAUUUACUGGGUGUAAAGGGAGCGUAGGCGGUUUAGCAAGUCAGCAGUGAAAGCCCGGGGCUCAACCACGGGACUGCGGUGGAAACUGGCGUACUAGAGUGCAGGCGAGGUAAGCGGAAUUCGUGGUGUAGCGGUGAAAUGCUUAGAUAUUAGGAGGAACACCAGUGGCGAAGGCGGCUUACUGGAGUGUAAAUGACGCUGAAGCUCGAAGGCGUGGGUAGCGAACAGGAUUAGAUACCCGUGUAGUC